UAAACGAGAGUUUGAUCCUGGCUCAGGACGAACGCUGGCGGCGUGCCUAACACAUGCAAGUCGAGCGGAGUAUUUAGGUUUACUUAGAUACUUAGCGGCGGACGGGUGAGUAA
rnacentral:rRNA from 1 species